rnacentral:lncRNA from 1 species
UAUUCAUAUACAUACAUACAUACUAACUGCCUACUUGAGCAUGCAUGCGCUGAAAUUAUAAGGUAACAAACAAUCAUACGCUCCAUUCUGAUUAAAGUAAGGGAAAAUAAUAGAUGAUUUAUACUGAUUUAAGUAACAAAAGUUAUGCUUUUUAAGGAAGAGGAAAUGAAAUGAUUUAGAUAUUAAAAAUGUCAAAGUUUUGGGAAGUAUACAUUAACGAUUGUUAUUGUCUUUGCAACUUCUGUUUGAUGCAGAACAUGAAUUGCAGUAAAAUUUACUCCUUAUUCUCUAGAUGCUGGCUGAUGCAGAGAAAGGAAAAGAUUGUUCAAUAGACUUGAGUAUGUGCUGAUAACUGUGAAACAUUUUCUUUGGUUUCUUUGUCUGAUAAUAAUUUUCAAUUUGUAUAUGAUUUCCACGUUUGGUCUUCACUCCAUUUUUCUACAUCAUCACUGAAGGGACAUGUUGAACCUUUGGCUUUUUUUUUGUUGCAGAAACUUGAUAUAUGUAAUGGGUUGUCUGCUUAGUUCAUUUUUGUUCCUUCAAGUGUUUGUACUUAUGUGAUGUUUGUUGAUUUUGUUGUUUAGUUUGACCAACAAUAUUAUUUUUACUUCAAUACAUUUGUUUUAUCAUGUUGGAUUUGUUUUGUAUUUCUUAAAACUUUAUCUUUCAGACCACUCUUCCAUAUAUUGUUUAGGCGAGAAUAUAAUUUGAUGAUUUAGAGAUAAUAUAUGUGGUUCUUUUUAUCUUCAUGGAUUUGUGAAAUGUGGUGUGGUAACAACUCUAAUGGUACUCUUUCAAACCACUCUUCCAAUUUCUCUAUUUUUUCUUUGUUUCAUUUUAGAUUCUGUUCUUUAUUUUGGAUUUAAGUUUCACAUGAUAUAUUAUACUAAAAGAAACUAUUUUUUCCUUUGCAUACCUUGCAUUGAUUUCUAAUGUUCCUAUUAUGAUAGAUUUGUAAAUUGGCAGAGAUGAAGAAAUCUCUGUCAGAUUGCUUCUUUUUCGCAACAACGGCGGCAGCCUCCGACAUAGAGGUAAGGACCGGAACCGUCCUCCGGUUCUGUCUCCGAUAAUUGACAAAGAAUUUUCCGGCAUCGUGUUGUUCAAGCAAUGGUUCUGUUGGAAUCACUGAAGAAGGAAUCAAAUCAUUAGAUCUAGAGGUUAGAAAAAUUGAAUUUGAAGAAUUGUUACUACUACAAUUGUAAUGUUUUUUCACUCAUUAUUAUUCAUGAUUUCAUUCUAAUUUUUAUUAAAUUUAUUGUAACGCAUUAAACUUUCUAUUUACAUGUGGAGAGAGCACAAGUUGAAACGUCGACGUGUAAUUGCCGUGAAGAAAAAACACGGAGGUUAGUUUUUGAAAUUGCUGAUUUAUAUUUUUCAGCAUAGUCUCCAUGUAUAUGAAUUAGUGCAGAGCUGAUUCUUCAAUAUGUUAAUGUUAAUUUUGUCUUGAUUCAUGUAAUGUGGAUUAAUCUUUUUUUCCCUUAGAGUUUAGCAUAUGAUUUUGUGUAAGGUUUUUGAAUUAAUUUUCAAAUUUGGUCGUUUGAUUUGUGAAGUUAAGUGGCACGUGUAUUAUAUGUUGAUGUUAAUUUUAGCUAUGAUGUUGUUGAUUGGUGCAGCUGAUUUUAUGAAAAUAAGAAUUUUUUAUGUUGUAUAUUUUAAUUGGAUUUUUUGUGACUUUGAUAUAGGCAAGAGGCAGGCUGAGUUAUUUUUUAAGAAUUAAGAUUAUUUUUUCUACUUGAUUGUUUGCUUUUCACAUGUUAGUUAUUCUUGAUUUGAUUAUCCAUUUGAUUUCCUCCAUGACUAUCGAUAAACUAUGUUUAAUAAAGCUAUGUUUACAUUGUUGCACUUGGUUGUGGAAUUGAAACCAAUGACAAAUCAUGCUGGUAACAUUCAAUGUAGUUAUCUUUUUAUCUCAGAUAUGAUGAAUUUCCAAAUUUUAUGCAGGGAACUUUAGAUUGUAGGAUAUGAUAGAAGAUUAUCAAUUUGGUUUGGGGCCUUAGAUCUAUAUGAAGUUAUCAACCAAAUUAAUGGAAAAAAGGAGUUGUGAUUAUUUUUGAAUUAUUGUUUAGAGGAAGAGAGAAAUAGAUUGAGUCUAUGUAUUGAUGUUUUUCUUUAAACUAUAUCCUAAUGUACUCUUGCAUCCUUAUUGUGCAUUGAAACUUUUUUUCUUCAUAUUGUCAUGAUAAUGAUAAUUUAUGUGGUUAGUUUUGUAAAUUGAAUUUGGCUUCAUAUGAUAUAAUGAGAUUGGCCUAUAAAAGUCUUAUACAUUGAAGGUUGAUGAGAGGAAAGGAAGGUAGAAAUAAUUCUCAUAUGUUGAAGAAUACAGGAAUUGGAGGAAUUCUAUUUUGGAACUUGCUAUCAUGUCCUUCACAAAAUUCUUCUAU